UAGGUUUAAAUAAUUUAUUGAUAGUUGCUUUUUCAAAAAGACAAUAGUUACAAUUACAGAUUAAAGAAAUUGACUGUACAUAAGAGGAUUGUGUAUUACUUGAGUGCAUCGUUUGGGGUUUUGAAUGAAAAACAGGCAUCGGUUGGAGGAAAAAGACAGACUAACUGUUUAGUCUCCCCCCCACUUCCUUUUCCACAGGCUUGAGAAAAAUUGUUUUCGCAGCAAACUAUUGCUUUUGUCCUGCAUCUGCACCCCAUGAGGUUAAGCAUCAUCUGUAUGGCGACAUCAUUAAGAACAGAUGGGUCGUAACGAGCUGUAUGGUGUUAUAAAGAACAGAUGGGUCGUAACUAGCUGGGUCGCUGUAUGGCGACAUUAAGAACAGAUGGGUCGUAACUAGCUGUAUGGUGUUAUAAAGAACAGAUGGGUCGUAACUAGCUGUAUGGUGACAAUAAGAACAGAUGGGUCGUAACUAGCUGUAUUGGUGACAAUAAGAAGAGGUGGGUCGUAACUAGCUGUAAGGUGACAAUAAGAAGAUGUGGGUCGUAACUAGCUGUAUGGCGACAUCAUUAAGAACAGGUGGGUCGUAACUAGCUGUAAGGUGACAAUAAGAAGAGGUGGGUCGUAACUAGCUGUACGGUGACAAUAAGAACAGGUGGGUCGUAACUAGCUGUAUGGCGACAUCAUUAAGAACAGGUGGGUCGUAACUAGCUGUAUGGUGACACCAUUCUGAACAGAUGGGUCGUAACUAGCUGUAUGGCGACACCAUUCUGAACAGAUGGGUGUAACUAGCUGUAUGGCGACACCAUUCUGAACAGAUGGGUCGUAACUAGCUGUAUGGUGACAUUAAGAACAGAUGGGUCGUAACUAGCUGUAUGGUGACAUUAAGAACAGAUGGGUCGUAACUAGCUGUAUGGUGACACCAUUCUGAACAGAUGGGUCGUAACUAGCUGUAUGGCGACACCAUUCUGAACAGAUGGGUCGUAACUAGCUGUAUGGUGACAUUAAGAACAGAUGGGUCGUAACUAGCUGUAUGGUGUUAUAAAGAACAGAUGGGUCGUAACUAGCUGUAUGGUGACACCAUUCUGAACAGAUGGGUCGUAACUAGCUGUAUGGUGACACCAUUCUGAACAGAUGGGUCGUAACUAGCUGUAUGGUAACAUUAAGAACAGAUGGGUCGUAACUAGCUGUAUGGUGACAUUAAGAACAGGUGGGUCGUAACUAGCUGUAUGGCGACAUUAGGAACAGAUGGGUCGUAACUAGCUGUAUGGUGACAUCAUUCUGAACAGAUGGGUCGUAACUAGCUGUAUGGCGACACCAUUAAGAACAGAUGGGUCGUAACUAGCAGUUACUGCAUAGCUUGGUAGCGGUGGUCUCUCCCAGAACAGAGCUGAGACAGUCACCAUCACUCCAUUACAACAUAAUAAGGCAUUACAAAACCCACAUCCGGAAAAUAACCAAUUAUCAGAGGCGACUUCCCAAACGGCACCCUAUUCUCAUAGUGCAAUACGUUUGACCAGAGGCCAUAGGUCUAAAGUAGUGCACUAUAUAGGGAAUAGGGCUCUGGUCUAAAGUAGUGCACUAUAAAGGGAAUAGGGGGCCAUUUGGGAUCCAGCCAGAGUACAUUCAAAUACAGAAGAUCAUCAGGAAAUGCACUUCAGAUGUUUGUUUUGGCAAAGCUAAGGCAUCUUGGGACAUCUGAACCAUUAGUGUUAUAUAGGUAGUGCCCCAAAUGGCAUCCUAUCCCCCCUCCAGUACCCCCAAACCCUGGUCCUCCAGUACCCCCAACCCCGGUCCUCCAGUACCCCCAACCCCGGACCUCCAGUACCCCCAACCCCGGACCAGGGUUGGUGUACUGUUGAGGGUACUGGAGGACAUACUGCCCUAUGUAGUGCACUACUUUUGACCAGGGCUCAUAGGGAAUAGGGUGUAAUUUGGGCUUCAGAUAUGUUUCUAUAAUACACAGGUCAUAUUAUAAUAAGGAUAUUGUGAUUUAAUUCAUUAAUGAUGAUGUAUAGUUGAUGCACAGAGCCAAGUUCCUGACACGUAACGCUGUAGUGUAUCCUACAAAGCGUCAGGUCUUCAUGAAGACCUAUUCCAUACCAGAAUUUCAAAUUCUUCUGUUAAGACAAUUACAUACGUUUUAGAUGAUUGUGUCAACAAAAGGAAGUAUUGAUGACAAUUACAAUAUAUAUAUAUAUCACAUUAAAAUUGUUAAAAAGUUCAAUAAUAUCCUUUCUGUUUAAUAUGGGGCGAGAUACAAUUACAAAAACAUUCGUGAAGCAGAAUUCAUAUGGAAACGAGUUCCUAAGGCAACACUGCUGGUCCUGCUCUCCUUAAAUGGAAUUGUUUUAAUAUAAUUUUACAAAGCAUAAAAAAUAAAUAACAAGCAAGUGCUGCCAUUGAUGAAAAGGCACAAUCUCAACCUGUCAUCUUAUUAUAGUCAUUUAUGGACAUUCAAACAAGCAGAUCUGUCAGCCUGUAAUCUUCCUGCCUUUAGAAAACAGAGCCAGAGGAGGACUGUAGAAACCUACCGCUGCCAGUCCCCUUCCUACAAACCUCAGGGGACAAGGACAAAACCUCGGAGGAGGACUGUAGAAACCUACUGCUGUCCGUCCCUCCCUACAAACCUCAGG
ensembl:lncRNA